rnacentral:rRNA from 1 species
UACGUAGGGUCCGAGCGUUGUCCGGAAUUACUGGGCGUAAAGAGCUCGUAGGUGGUUUGUCGCGUUGUUCGUGAAAACUCACAGCUCAACUGUGGGCGUGCGGGCGAUACGGGCAGACUAGAGUACUGCAGGGGAGACUGGAAUUCCUGGUGUAGCGGUGGAAGUGGCGCAGAGUAUCAGGAGGAACACCGGUGGCGAAGGCGGGUCUCUGGGCAGUAACUGACGCUGGAGGAGCGAAAGCGUGGGGAGCGAACAGG